UACGUAGGUGGCAAGCGUUGUCCGGAUUUAUUGGGCGUAAAGCGCGCGCAGGCGGUCCUUUAAGUCUGAUGUGAAAUCCCCGGGCUCAACCUGGGAAUUGCAUUGGAGACUGCAAGGCUAGAGUGUGUCAGAGGGGGGUAGAAUUCCACGUGUAGCAGUGAAAUGCGUAGAUAUGUGGAGGAACACCGAUGGCGAAGGCAGCCCCCUGGGAUAACACUGACGCUCAUGCACGAAAGCGUGGGGAGCAAACAGG
rnacentral:rRNA from 1 species